rnacentral:rRNA from 1 species
GUCUAUGGCCAUGCUACCCUGAACAAGCCCCAUCCUGUGCGAUCUCGGAAGCUAAGCAGGGUCAGGCCUGGUUAGUACUUGGAUGGGAGACCACCUAGAAAGGCUAGUGCUGUUGGUG